GCCUGGCUAGCUCAGUUGGUAGAGCAUGGGACUCUUGAUCGUGGAUUUGAGCCCCACGCUGGGUA
rnacentral:tRNA from 1 species